GCAAACUUGGUCAUUUAGAGGAAGUAAAAGUCGUAACAAGGUUUCCGUAGGUGAACCUGCGGAAGGAUCAUUAGAAAAGAUCGACCCGAAAUAUGGACGAUCAAAUCCAUAUCCACCUUGUGUGCACUCAUUGACCGUUCACUUUGGCAGGAGUCGUCUUCGAUCUGAUCGAAGCGAAGGAGGUUCUCUCUCUCAGAGAGAGACCUUGGCCUGCCAGAGUUUUUCUCCUAAACACGCUUCUUUUGAACCUUUUGGACUGAACCCUCGUCUCGAUUCUCUGUAAUCGGUCGAAUCAAAUACAACUUUCAACAACGGAUCUCUUGGCUCUCGCAUCGAUGAAGAACGCAGC
rnacentral:misc_RNA from 1 species